GACGAACGCUGGCGGCGUGCCUAAUACAUGCAAGUCGAACGCAGUGGGGACGGGUGAGUAACACGUGGGUAACCUCCCAUCAGAGGGGAUAACACUUGGCAACAGGUGCUAAACCGAUACUGAUGGAUGGACCCGCGGUGCAUUAGCUAGUUGGUGAGGUAACGGCUCACCAAGGCAACGAGGCAUAGCCGACCGGAGGGGGGGAUCGGCCACACUGCGACUGAAAAACGGCCCAAACUCCUCCGAGAGGCAGCAGUAGGGAAUCUUCGGCAAUGGACGAAAGUCUGACCGAGCAAGACCGCGUGAGUGAAGAAGGUUGUCGGAUCGUAAAACUCUGUUGUUAGAGAAGCGGUAUCUAACCAGAAAGCCACGGCUAACUACGUGCCAGCAGCCGCGGUAAUUC
rnacentral:rRNA from 1 species